rnacentral:rRNA from 1 species
AACGAACGCUGGCGGCAUGCCUAACACAUGCAAGUCGAACGAGACCUUCGGGUCUAGUGGCGCACGGGUGCGUAACGCGUGGGAACCUGCCCUUAGGCUCGGAAUAACUCCCCGACAGGGGUGCUAAUACCGGAUAAUGUCUUCGGACCAAAGAUUUAUCGCCUUUGGAUGGGCCCGCGUUGGUUUAGCUAGUUGGUAGGGUAAAAGCCUACCAAGGCGACGAUCCAUAGCUGGUCUGAGAGGAUGAUCAGCCACACUGGGACUGAGACGCAGCCCAGACUCCUACGGGAGGCAGCAGUGGGGAAUAUUGGACAAUGGGCGAAAGCCUGAUCCAGCAAUGCCGCGUGAGUGAUGAAGGCCUUAGGGUUGUAAAGCUCUUUUACCCGGGAUGAUAAUGACAGUACCGGGAGAAUAAGCUCCGGCUAACUCCGUG